GCCUAAGAUUCGAGGUGGGUUGGGUUUCUCUUUCUUGUAGGAUUAUUUUAUAUAGAUAGGAGCCUGUUCUCAGGGAAAUGUGUGGAAUAAUAGGUGCAAAGCCCUAAAAACAAAAGGCAGCUUGGGAUUGAAUUUGAAAAUAUCAAGAAGGAAAAAAAAUGCCAAGAUUUUAGUAAAUGUUUGGUUUGAAUAUGGAAAAGUGAAGUUGAAAUGGUGAGACUGGAUGUAUCUUUUGAUCUUGAACGAAUAAUCAGAAACUUGAACAGAAGAUGCAUAAAAACUGGAGAGUAAUAGUAAAUGUUGAAGAACAAAGUCUAAGUAAAGAUU
rnacentral:misc_RNA from 1 species